AACGAACGCUGGCGGCAGGCCUAACACAUGCAAGUCGAGCGCCCUUUCGGGGGAGCGGCGGCCGGGUGAGUAACGCGUGGGAAUAUGCCCUUCUCUACGGAAUAGCCUCGGGAAACUGAGAGUAAUACCGUAUACGCCCUUUGGGGGAAAGAUUUAUCGGGGAAGGAUUAGCCCGCGUUGGAUUAGGUAGUUGGUGGGGUAAUGGCCUACCAAGCCGACGAUCCAUAGCUGGUUUGAGAGGAUGAUCAGCCACACUGGGGCUGAGACACGGCCCAGACUCCUACGGGAGGCAGCAGUGGGGAAUCUUAGACAAUGGGGGCAACCCUGAUCUAGCCAUGCCGCGUGAGUGAUGAAGGCCUUAGGGUUGUAAAGCUCUUUCAGCUGGGAAGAUAAUGACGGUACCAGCAGAAGAAGCCCCGGCUAACUCCGUG
rnacentral:rRNA from 1 species